CGCGGUAUCCUAACCGUGCGAAGGAAGCGUAAUCACUUGUUCUUUAAAUAAGGACUAGUAUGAACGGCAUCACGAGGGUUAUACUGUCUCCUCUCCCUAAUCAGUGAAACUAAUUUCCCCGUGAAGAAGCGGGGGUAACACUAUAAGACGAGAAGACCCUAUGGAGCUUUAGACUAAAUGACACUUGUCCCAUCAACCCCUAAUUCCAGAAAACCAUGCCUACUUGACAAGAUGAUCUUCCAGUCUUAGGUUGGGGUGACCGCGGAGCACAAAACAACCUCCAUGCUGAAUGACACUUACUGCCUUAUUUAUGAGCAACCGCUCUAAAAACAGCAUACUGACAUUUAUUGACCCAAUUUUUUGAUCAACGAACCAAGUUACCCUAGGGAUAACAGCGCAAUCUACUUCAAGAGCUCCUAUCGACAAGUGGGUUUACGACCUCGAUGUUGGAUCAGGGUAUCCCAGUGGUGCAGCCGCUACUAAAGG
rnacentral:rRNA from 1 species